UCAAACAGUCGGUUUAUAUUUCCGACAUUUAUAAUGUCAGCUUGCUUCAAGACUUUGCUUCUCUAUCACAAUUCACCCUAGUUUGAGAAUUACUUCUUGAAACACAGAUUUAGGGAUUAUUUUUUCUUUUCACACAUUUUUGGCAAAAGGAAACGCAAUCAAAGCUCACAACUCCAAUGGCCAAACUGUAGUGUUUGAUGCCAGCAGUUAUCCUUCAGA
rnacentral:misc_RNA from 1 species